CCAGCCUGUGGCCCUCAAAUGUGGGAGCACUCUUCUGACGUCAAGUGGAAAGUGCUGCAACAUUUGAGUGUCACCGGGGGC
rnacentral:pre_miRNA from 12 species